UCAAGCUACAAAGGGCGCAUGGUGAAUGCCUUGGCAUCAGGAGCCGAUGAAGGACGUGAUAAGCUGCGAUAAGCUUCGGGUAGGCGCACAUAGCCUGAGAUCCGAAGAUCUCCGAAUGAGGAAACUCACAUGGGAAACCCCAUGUAUCAUUAAGUGAAUACAUAGCUUAAUGAAGGUAACCCAGGGAACUGAAACAUCUAAGUACCUGGAGGAAGAGAAAGAAAAAUCGAUUUUCUUAGUAGCGGCGAGCGAAAGGGAAAGAGCCCAAACCGGAAACUUGUUUCCGGGGUUGUGGACAUARCAUAAAAGUGGAGGCUAUUGUAACUGAAGAGAACUGGAAAGUUCCACCGUAGAAGGUAAUAGUCCUGUAAGUGAAACGAGAAGACCACGAGUUAUGAUCCAGAGUACCACGAGACACGUGAAACCUUGUGGGAAGCAGGGAGGACCACCUCCCAAGGCUAAAUACUACCUGAUGACCGAUAGUGAAGCAGUACCGUGAGGGAAAGGUGAAAAGAACCCCGGGAGGGGAGUGAAAUAGAACCUGAAACCGUGUGCCUACAACCGCUCAGAGCCCCUUAUGAGGGUGAUGAGGUGCUUUUUGUAGAACGAGCCAACGAGUUACGGUAUGUAGCAAGGUUAAGUACUUAAGGUACGGAGCCGAAGGGAAACCGAGUCUGAAUAGGGCGACUAGUUGCAUGCCGUAGACCCGAAACCGGGUGACCUAUCCAUGGCCAGGUUGAAGCGAGGGUAAAACCUCGUGGAGGACCGAACCACGUUGCUGUUGAAAAAGCAUGGGAUGAGCUGUGGAUAGCGGAGAAAUUCCAAUCGAACCCGGAGAUAGCUGGUUCUCUCCGAAAUAGCUUUAGGGCUAGCGUCGAGUAUGAGUAGUGGAGGUAGAGCACUGAAUGGGCUAGGGGGCAUAGCGCUUACCGAACCUUAUCAAACUCCGAAUGCCACAUACUUUGAGCUCGGCAGUCAGACUACGAAUGAUAAGAUCCGUGGUCAAAAGGGAAACAGCCCAGAUCGUCAGCUAAGGUCCCAAAGUGUAAGUUAAGUGGGAAAGGAUGUGAGAUUUCUAAGACAACUAGGAUGUUGGCUUAGAAGCAGCCAUUCAUUAAAAGAGUGCGUAAUAGCUCACUAGUCGAGAGAUCUUGCGCCGAAAAUGUAACGGGGCUAAACUUACCACCGAAGCUACGGGCUUGAACUUAGUUCAAGCGGUAGGAGAGCGUCGUAACCGGGCUGAAGUCGUACCGUAAGGAGCGGUGGACUGGUUACGAGUGAGAAUGUUGGCAUCAGUAGCGAGAUGUGGGUGAGAAUCCCACAGGCCGAAAACCUAAGGUUUCCUCAGGAAGGUUCGUCCGCUGAGGGUUAGUCGGGACCUAAGCCGAGGCCGAAAGGCGUAGGUGAUGGACAACUGGUUGAUAUUCCAGUACCACUACCAUCGUUAUUAUCGAUGGCGUGACGCAGGAGGAUAGUGUGUGCUAGCUAUUGGAUGCUAGUCUAAGCGUUUAGGCAGUGAGAGUAGGCAAAUCCGCUCUCAUAAUGCUGAGGCGUGAUGGGGAAGGUUCYACGGAACCGAAGUACAUGAUUCCACGCUGCCAAGAAAAGCGUCUAGAGAGAGAAGUAGUGCCCGUACCGCAAACCGACACAGGUAGGUGAGGAGAGAAUCCUAAGGCCGGCGGAAGAAUUACAGUUAAGGAACUCGGCAAAUUGACCCCGUAAGUUCGCGAGAAGGGGUGCCUACGAGAGUAGGCCGCAGAGAAUAGGCCCAAGCAACUGUUUAGCAAAAACACAGGUCUCUGCUAAAGCGUAAGCUGAUGUAUAGGGGCUGACGCCUGCCCGGUGCUGGAAGGUUAAGGGGAACACUUAGCGCAAGCGAAGGUGUGAACUUAAGCCCCAGUAAACGGCGGCCGUAACUAUAACGGUCCUAAGGUAGCGAAAUUCCUUGUCAGGUAAGUUCUGACCCGCACGAAUGGCGUAAUGACUUGGGCACUGUCUCAACUGUAAAUCCGGCGAAGUUGUAGUGCGAGUGAAGAUGCUCGCUACCCGCGAUUGGACGGAAAGACCCCGUAGAGCUUUACUGUAGCUUAGCAUUGAGUUUUGGUAUUGUCUGUACAGGAUAGGUGGGAGACUAGGAAACCAGGGCGUCAGCCUUGGUGGAGUCAACCUUGGGAUACCACCCUGACAGUACUGAAAUUCUAACUGGCGGCCAUGAAUCUGGUCACAGGACAUUGUUAGGUGGGCAGUUUGACUGGGGCGGUCGCCUCCUAAAAAGUAACGGAGGCGCCCAAAGGUUCCCUCAGAACGGUCGGAAAUCGUUCGAAGAGUGCAAAGGCAGAAGGGAGCCUGACUGCGACACCCACAAGUGGAGCAGGGACGAAAGUCGGGCUUAGUGAUCCGGUGGUACCUCGUGGGAGGGCCAUCGCUCAACGGAUAAAAGCUACCUCGGGGAUAACAGGCUGAUCUCCCCCAAGAGUCCACAUCGACGGGGAGGUUUGGCACCUCGAUGUCGGCUCGUCGCAUCCUGGGGCUGAAGUAGGUCCCAAGGGUUGGGCUGUUCGCCCAUUAAAGCGGCACGCGAGCUGGGUUCAGAACGUCGUGAGACAGUUCGGUCCCUAUCCGUCGCGGGCGUAGGAAAUUUGAGAGGAGCUGUCCUUAGUACGAGAGGACCGGGAUGGACUGACCUCUGGUGUACCAGUUGUUCCGCCAGGAGCACAGCUGGGUAGCUAAGUCGGGAAUGGAUAAACGCUGAAAGCAUCUAAGCGUGAAGCCAACCUCAAGAUGAGAUUUCCCAUAGCGUAAGCUAGUAAGAUCCCUUGAAGAACACAAGGUUGAUAGGUCGGGGGUGUAAGCAUGGUAACAUGUUCAGCUGACCGAUACUAAUAGAUCGAGGGCUUGACCAA
rnacentral:rRNA from 1 species